rnacentral:rRNA from 1 species
GUCUAUGGCCAGUGCACCCUGAAAAAGCCUGAUCUCUGAUCUUGAAAGCCAAGCAGGGUCAGUUCUGGUUAGUACUUGGAUGGGUGUUGUUUAUGCCUACAACACCUAGGAAGACCAGGUGUUGUAGGCA